rnacentral:lncRNA from 1 species
GACUACAUGCUCAUAAGGCUACAUGCCCAUUAGGACAUGCUCCCAACAUAUGGUUAAACACCAUCAUCAACCACAAGUCCAUUUAGACCACUUGGUUAUAUAGGCCUCGUGCCCAUUGAGCUAAAAAGACAUUGGUAUUUCUUAAGGCCAUGCUGCACCUUUGCAACAAAUCAUCUCCAGUAAGAUUGUCAAAAACGGUUUAGGCGAUAACAUCUUAGGCGAUCUCGGAGGCGAUACCCUACUCCCUAAGCCGUAGGGAGCUUGUUACCAAAGCACGAUUCAGGUUAUCCGAUGAGCACAAGUUAUUUCUCCACUUCAAACA